GUGCUUGCUUCGGCAUCACAUAUACUAAAACCGAAAUGAAUCAGAGAAGAUUAGCAUGGCCCCUGUGCAAGGAUGACAUGCAAAUUUGUGAAGUGUUCCAUAUUAAU
rnacentral:snRNA from 1 species